GGACACUUGUAAGGGAGCUCUGUGC
rnacentral:piRNA from 1 species